UUACACCUAAACAUUUUCUAUAUCUCUCUAUCAAUAGGAAUUCAGAGAAGGUUCAUUAAGGAAUAGAACUACCUUCAGUGGCUUUGCUUCCUCCUGUACGGUCGUCUGGGGGAUUGCAGGCUGGACUCAACUCACUGGAAUUCAGAGAAGGUUCAUUAAGGAAUAGAACUACCUUCAGUGGCUUUGCUUCCUCCUGUACGGUCGUCUGGGGGAUUGCAGGCUGGACUCAACUCACUGGAAUUCAGAGAAGGUUCAUUAAGGAAUAGAACUACCUUCAGUGGCUUUGCUUCCUCCUGUACGGUCGUCUGGGGGAUUGCAGGCUGGACUCAACUCACUGGAAUUCAGAGAAGGUUCAUUAAGGAAUAGAACUACCUUCAGUGGCUUUGCUUCCUCCUGUACGGUCGUCUGGGGGAUUGCAGGCUGGACUCAAAUCACUGGAAUUCAGAGAAGGUUCAUUAAGGAAUAGAACUACCUUCAGUGGCUUUGCUUCCUCCUGUACGGUCGUCUGGGGGAUUGCAGGCUGGACUCAACUCACUGGAAUUCAGAGAAGGUUCAUUAAGGAAUAGAACUACCUUCAGUGGCUUUGCUUCCUCCUGUACGGUCGUCUGGGGGAUUGCAGGCUGGACUCAACUCACUGGAAUUCAGAGAAGGUUCAUUAAGGAAUAGAACUACCUUCAGUGGCUUUGCUUCCUCCUGUACGGUCGUCUGGGGGAUUGCAGGCUGGACUCAACUCACUGGAAUUCAGAGAAGGUUCAUUAAGGAAUAGAACUACCUUCAGUGGCUUUGCUUCCUCCUGUACGGUCGUCUGGGGGAUUGCAGGCUGGACUCAACUCACUGGAAUUCAGAGAAGGUUCAUUAAGGAAUAGAACUACCUUCAGUGGCUUUGCUUCCUCCUGUACGGUCGUCUGGGGGAUUGCAGGCUGGACUCAACUCACUGGAAUUCAGAGAAGGUUCAUUAAGGAAUAGAACUACCUUCAGUGGCUUUGCUUCCUCCUGUACGGUCGUCUGGGGGAUUGCAGGCUGGACUCAACUCACUGGAAUUCAGAGAAGGUUCAUUAAGGAAUAGAACUACCUUCAGUGGCUUUGCUUCCUCCUGUACGGUCGUCUGGGGGAUUGCAGGCUGGACUCAACUCACUGGAAUUCAGAGAAGGUUCAUUAAGGAAUAGAACUACCUUCAGUGGCUUUGCUUCCUCCUGUACGGUCGUCUGGGGGAUUGCAGGCUGGACUCAACUCACUGGAAUUCAGAGAAGGUUCAUUAAGGAAUAGAACUACCUUCAGUGGCUUUGCUUCCUCCUGUACGGUCGUCUGGGGGAUUGCAGGCUGGACUCAACUCACUGGAAUUCAGAGAAGGUUCAUUAAGGAAUAGAACUACCUUCAGUGGCUUUGCUUCCUCCUGUACGGUCGUCUGGGGGAUUGCAGGCUGGACUCAACUCACUGGAAUUCAGAGAAGUUUCAUUAAGGAAUAGAACUACCUUCAGUGGCUUUGCUUCCUCCUGUACGGUCGUCUGGGGGAUUGCAGGCUGGACUCAACUCACUGGAAUUCAGAGAAGGUUCAUUAAGGAAUAGAACUACCUUCAGUGGCUUUGCUUCCUCCUGUACGGUCGUCUGGGGGAUUGCAGGCUGGACUCAAAUCACUGGAAUUCAGAGAAGGUUCAUUAAGGAAUAGAACUACCUUCAGUGGCUUUGCUUCCUCCUGUACGGUCGUCUGGGGGAUUGCAGGCUGGACUCAACUCACUGGAAUUCAGAGAAGGUUCAUUAAGGAAUAGAACUACCUUCAGUGGCUUUGCUUCCUCCUGUACGGUCGUCUGGGGGAUUGCAGGCUGGACUCAACUCACUGGAAUUCAGAGAAGGUUCAUUAAGGAAUAGAACUACCUUCAGUGGCUUUGCUUCCUCCUGUACGGUCGUCUGGGGGAUUGCAGGCUGGACUCAAAUCACUGGAAUUCAGAGAAGGUUCAUUAAGGAAUAGAACUACCUUCAGUGGCUUUGCUUCCUCCUGUACGGUCGUCUGGGGGAUUGCAGGCUGGACUCAACUCACUGGAAUUCAGAGAAGGUUCAUUAAGGAAUAGAACUACCUUCAGUGGCUUUGCUUCCUCCUGUACGGUCGUCUGGGGGAUUGCAGGCUGGACUCAAAUCACUGGAAUUCAGAGAAGGUUCAUUAAGGAAUAGAACUACCUUCAGUGGCUUUGCUUCCUCCUGUACGGUCGUCUGGGGGAUUGCAGGCUGGACUCAACUCACUGGAAUUCAGAGAAGGUUCAUUAAGGAAUAGAACUACCUUCAGUGGCUUUGCUUCCUCCUGUACGGUCGUCUGGGGGAUUGCAGGCUGGACUCAAAUCACUGGAAUUCAGAGAAGGUUCAUUAAGGAAUAGAACUACCUUCAGUGGCUUUGCUUCCUCCUGUACGGUCGUCUGGGGGAUUGCAGGCUGGACUCAACUCACUGUUGACUGUCCUGCAUGUUAUGAGAUGGCAGGUCCUCUUUCUAUGAGGCUGAGACAGGAGCUGGGAGCUCUCCACAGCCUGGUGACUGAUGA